GAUGAACGCUGGCGGCGUGCCUAAUACAUGCGAGUCGAGCGAACAGACGAGGAGCUUGCUCCUCUGACGUUAGCGGCGGACGGGUGAGUAACACGUGGAUAACCUACCUAUAAGACUGGGAUAACUUCGGGAAACCGGAGCUAAUACCGGAUAAUAUAUUGAACCGCAUGGUUCAAUAGUGAAAGACGGUUUGCUGUCACUUAUAGAUGGAUCCGCGCCGCAUUAGCUAGUUGGUAAGGUAACGGCUUACCAAGGCAACGAUGCGUAGCCGACCUGAGAGGGUGAUCGGCCACACUGGAACUGAGACACGGUCCAGACUCCUACGGGAGGCAGCAGUAGGGAAUCUUCCGCAAUGGGCGAAAGCCUGACGGAGCAACGCCGCGUGAGUGAUGAAGGUCUUCGGAUCGUAAAACUCUGUUAUUAGGGAAGAACAAAUGUGUAAGUAACUAUGCACGUCUUGACGGUACCUAAUCAGAAAGCCACGGCUAACUACGUG
rnacentral:rRNA from 1 species